GACGAACGCUGGCGGCGUGCCUAAUACAUGCAAGUAGAACGCUGAAGGAGGAGCUUGCUUCUCUGGAUGAGUUGCGAACGGGUGAGUAACGCGUAGGUAACCUGCCUGGUAGCGGGGGAUAACUAUUGGAAACGAUAGCUAAUACCGCAUAAUAGCAGUUAUUGCAUGAUAACUGUUUGAAAGGUGCAAUUGCACCACUACCAGAUGGACCUGCGUUGUAUUAGCUAGUUGGUGGGGUAACGGCUCACCAAGGCGACGAUACAUAGCCGACCUGAGAGGGUGAUCGGCCACACUGGGACUGAGACACGGCCCAGACUCCUACGGGAGGCAGCAGUAGGGAAUCUUCGGCAAUGGACGGAAGUCUGACCGAGCAACGCCGCGUGAGUGAAGAAGGUUUUCGGAUCGUAAAGCUCUGUUGUAAGAGAAGAACGAGUGUGAGAGUGGAAAGUUCACACUGUGACGGUAGCUUACCAGAAAGGGACGGCUAACUACGUG
rnacentral:rRNA from 1 species